GCCCGGGUGGCUCAGUCGGUUAAGCAUCUGACUUCGGCUCAGGUCACGAUCUCACAGUUUGUGGGUUCAAGCCCCACGUCGGGCU
rnacentral:tRNA from 1 species